GACGAACGCUGGCGGCGUGCUUAACACAUGCAAGUCGAACGGUAAGGCCCUUCGGGGUACACGAGUGGCGUACGGGUGAGUAACACGUGGGUGAUCUGCCCUGCACUUCGGGAUAAGCCUGGGAAACUGGGUCUAAUACCGGAUAGGACCAUUGCCUGCAUGGGUGGUGGUGGAAAGCUUUUGCGGUGUGGGAUGGGCCCGCGGCCUAUCAGCGUGUUGGUGGGGUGAUGGCCUACCAAGGCGACGACGGGUAGCCGGCCUGAGAGGGUGACCGGCCACACUGGGACUGAGAUACGGCCCAGACUCCUACGGGAGGCAGCAGUGGGGAAUAUUGCACAAUGGGCGCAAGCCUGAUGCAGCGACGCCGCGUGAGGGAUGACGGCCUUCGGGUUGUAAACCUCUUUCAGCACCGACGAAGCGCAAGUGACGGUAGGUGCAGAAGAAGGACCGGCCAACUACGUGCCAGCCGCCGCCGUAA
rnacentral:rRNA from 1 species